CAACGCGCGCAGCAGACGCGACACAGAGCGACGCCGGAAGUCCCGCCUCCACGCCGCGGUGGCAGGAAACGCCCUCCCCCGCGGUUGUGGGCCCGACGCAGCCGCGUACGCUCCGCGCAGACUUCUGGGUAAUGCAGUUCGACCCUGGGCACCCUUAGGUGCUCCAGGUCCACCUUCAAGAACACCGCUUAGGAGCAGGAUUUAUCAUAAAUUCAAUUUGAAUAGGUGUUUUGCAGUGUUUGUUUUAGCCAAAAUAAAACCCUGGGAAAAUGCUGACUUGGAGAAGGUCUCAAGAAAUUUAAAAACAAAAGGAAAUUUUUUAAAAAGAAAAACACAUCAGAAGAAAUGAUUAGGAGUCACCUGUGAAGAUGGCACAGCUACAUGAUCACCAUCAUGCUUUAGAGAAAAUAAUAAAUGAACAAAUAUAUCAAAAUAAAGAAAUAUGAGAGUCAUAUAGACAUUUUAAAUGACAUGAAAAACGCUUAGUUUUUAAAAUUUCAUUUCUUGGGUUUAGUUUUUAAAAUCAAACCUUUAAGCGUUCUUAAGUGAAAUGACAUCAGCAAGAUGACUUCAGAUAUUCCCACCACCCGCGAGCACACUGAAUAAACACGAUAAAUUCCCUCUAGGAGAAAUCUAGGACCAGAGUCUCUCCACUGUAUCUGCAGCUCUCAAAGUGCUGACAGGCGCAGGGCGCCGCCUGUGGGGGUCAAAGCGAAGGAGGUGUAGAAUCUCUAAGUAAAGCCCUCGAGAAGGAUGAUCACGGACCUCAAGUCUCACUCAGGAGCCGCUGAGCGAGAUGGAGUCUUCCAAACGACACCGAGGCGGGCUCCCUCACUCCAUCCCGGCUGUUUUCUUGCUCUGUUCCAGGAAAGCUGUCCCUGUCACACAUUCCAGUCUACAAGGCUGAUGUUGAAGAAACGGCAGAGUCUCCUUCUGCGGAGCCGGAAGCCCGUCCCUUCGGGAAAUGAUCCUUUCCGGUGUCUCCCUGGGCUGUGCGCUGGCGGAAGCACAAGGGAACGGGCUUGGGGGCACCCUAGUGCCCGCGCUUUAGGCGCCCACACGCUGCGUCAGUUGCGUUCCCCAUGGCAACGGCCAAGCGGCACUGCCGGGACAGCCCUUAAGAGGAAAUUACGUUCCAGAGCUCCGAUAGAGGUCGAGUUUUGCUUCCUAAAAGAACUGUUGAAAUUUCCGUGGCUAUCGAGGGGCACAGAAGACCCCUUCCCUGGCCGUCCUGCCUGUUUCGCCCUGGGCAAGCUGCUUCACAAUUCUGAGAAGUGAGGACCGAGAGUUAUCGUGAAAACAGAAACAACUUUACCUUGGGAAUAGCACUGGUACACGUUACUUUAAUUUGGUUUUACAAAGUUGUGGUUCCAGAAGGUGACGAGGACCUUUAGUACCAGUUACUUGGGAUGCUGAGGUGGGAGAAUCGCUAGAGUCCAAGAGUUGGAGGGCAGCCUGGACUAUUUAGCGAGACUCCCAUCUCAAAAUACAUGAAUCAAAAAAAGAAAGAAAGAAAUUGUAGUACGCAAGACUUGGGAAGUGGUCAAAAAUGCAGGCUUUCUGAACCCACUACUAACUCAAAAACUCUGGGUAUGGGGCCGUGAGUUCCAGCUCCUACUCCAUCCUCUUCACUAGUCCACUGCAAGCAGUUGUCCUGUCUUUGGUCCGGAAGAGCUGAACAAGUAAACCCAGUCUUAUCAGUCGUUACUUAAAUUCACCAUUUUUUCCUGUAAUAGCCAGAAUGAAGUCAAACUGUUUGCCAGUGCCUCCACGAUUUUCUCCUGGCCUCUCAUCUUCUGCAUUCUCUGCCUCCUUCAUUUUCCAACCAGAUCCCUUUGUUUCUCUGAAAUUUCCUCCCAGGGGAAUUUUACCAGAGACUCUUCUAGUAUCUUCAGUUUUCAGCUUCCUUUUUUGUCCUCUGUUCUCAAAUGUAGCAACUGGAUGCUUUUGUGAAACAUGGUCUUCCGGCUCACUUUAACCCACAAAAUACAAUUAAUUUUCACUGCUCUAGUGCUGAUUAGUUUCCACCACCCUGAAGUCCAGGACUGACCUGAAAUUCUGUCUUCCUAGAAGGCCAGUUCCUUGGAAUUUCCCUUCUUUCAAUGAUACGAUCAAUAAAUCUGUAAUAUGCCAAAA